rnacentral:rRNA from 1 species
UACGGAGGGGGCUAGCGUUGUUCGGAAUUACUGGGCGUAAAGCGUGCGCAGGCGGUUCGUUGUGUCUGAUGUGAAAGCCCCGGGCUCAACCUGGGAAUGGCAUUGGAAACUGGCGAGCUAGAGUGUGGCAGAGGGGGGUGGAAUUCCGCGUGUAAGCAGUGAAAUGCGUAGAGAUGCGGAAGAACACCGAUGGCGAAGGCAGCCCCCUGGGCUGACACUGACGCUCAGGCACGAAAGCGUGGGGAGCAAACGGG